GCCAUAUGUAUGACUCUACUUAGUUGGACUGUUCAGCACUUUGGUCAACUGUUGUUGUUGUUUUUAAAGGGCUUUAUAAUAAACCUGAACCUGAUAAUGUGUGUGUGUGUGUGUCGCUCCCAGCACCGCUCAAGAGACCGAGGCAAGAACCUGCACUCUCACACGCAGAUGAAGAGGAGGUGAAGAAGGUGAAGAUCUCCUCAGACUCUUUAGGUCUCGUCCCGUAUGGUGGAGACUCGUCAGAUGAAGAAGAGGAGAAAACUCGCAGUGGAAGGAAAAGCAAUUUUUAACCCCGCCCCUACACGCACGCGUGUCCCCAGUCACAUUAACACCCC